UGUUAUAGCAGCAAAGGGGGGUCCAACUCCAUAUUAAAGCCUUCCCAGAAGAGUGGAGGCUGUUAUAGCAGCAAAGGGGGGACCAACUCCAUAUUAAAGCCUUCCCAGAAGAGUGGAGGCUGUUAUAGCAGCAAAGGGGGGACCAACUCCAUAUUAAUGACUUCCCAGAAGAGUGGAGGCUGUUAUAGCAGCAAAGGGGGACCAACUCCAUAUUAAUGCCUUCCCAGAAGAGUGGAGGCUGUUAUAGCAGCAAAGGGGGGGGACCAACUCCAUAUUAAUGACUUCCCAGAAGAGUGGAGGCUGUUAUAGCAGCAAAGGGGGA
ensembl:lncRNA